ACUCAGAGAUUUCUGCAGAUUGA
rnacentral:snRNA from 1 species